rnacentral:rRNA from 1 species
UGGGGAAUCUUGGACAAUGGGGGCAACCCUGAUCCAGCGACGCCGCGUGGGUGACGAAGGCCUUAGGGUCGUAAAGCUCUUUCGCCAGGGAUGAUAAUGACAGUACCUGGUAAAGAAACCCCGGCUAACUCCGUGCCAGCAGCCGCGGUAAUACAGAGGGGGCAAGCGUUGUCCGGACUUACUGGGCGUAAAGCGCACGCAGGUGGUAACGCAAGUGGGGUGUGAAAGCCGCCAGCUCAACUGGCGGAGGCCAUCCCAAACUGCGUCACUUGAGGCCUGUAGAGGUAUGUGGAAUUGCCGGUGUAGUGGUGAAAUGCGUAGAGAUCGGCAGGAACACCCAGGGGGAAACCAGCAUACUGGACAGGUCCUGACACUCAGGUGCGACAGCGUGGGGAGCGAACCGGAUUAGAUACCCGUGUAGUCC